ensembl:snoRNA
UAUCUGUGAUGAUCUUAUCCCGAACCUGAACUUCUGUUGAAAAAAAAACUACGGAUCUGGCUUCUGAGAU